CUGCCGCCCUUCCCUUGUCUGAUUUUUUUCAGCCGGCGUUAUCUCCCUGCUCGGCAGCCCUUCCCUGUGCUUGUUCUUCAUGCCGCGUGCUCCUCAAAUUCCCAGCUCCGGCUCAUCUUCCACCAACGCGCGCUGCUCCAGCCUUUAGCUCCCUGGUCGCCGCGCAGAGGAGCUCCCUCAGCUCGCUCCUCCUGUGUCGCGCCCCAGCCCCUGGUUCGGCUCUGCUCCUCCCUGUGCCCAUCUCCCAUGGCGGCUCUCUCUGUCCGGCCACCGGCGCCUUUGUUUUCCUCUCUCCUCUACGCUGUCGCUGUUUCCUUGUGCAGCGCCGGUUGUCCUCGCGCUCGGCUCCCAGCUCGCCCAGCUUUGGUGGUCGUCGUCUCCACCUCGACCAGAGCAUCGCCGUGGAGUCCCUGCUUCUUCGGCUGGCCGCGGCGCUCUCUCCCUGGCGCGCUCGUCCGCCCCUGCUCCACUGCGCCGAGCAGUUCCCAGCCGAGCUCCUAUCCAGCCAUGCCGCGCCCUCCCUACUCCUUCCUGCAACUCGGUGCCUCUCCCAGCUCGCUGGUCGUCGAGUCCUUCUCCCUAGCGCAUGGAUCAAGUUGUUGCCCCCAGCCAUGUCUUCAUCUCCAUCAACUGACACUUUCUGCUCGGCCACAUGCCAUGGAGCUCGUCCUGCCCCUGUUUCCAUGACCGGCGUCCCCAAGCUCCUCCCCUGUGCGUCGCGAUUUUCCCUGGCACAGCUCGCUCACUGUUCGCCGCACGCUCUGGGACCCUCCCUGCACUGCGCCAUGGCAACCGUUGGACCGGUCGUUCGCUGCGCGCCAACUUCCCUGUGCGCGCCUCUGUUCCUCGUCGUGGUGGGGUCGUGGUUUGGCAACGUCGUGUGCAUUGCGAUAGCCGUCCUGACCGCAAAGCAGUCCGCGCAAUAAAGUUCGCUCGGUCGCGACCUCGCUUUGCUCUCUGCGUCGUUGUUCGCCCAUGUUGUCACGUCCUGUUUCCGGCUCGUAAGUGCGCCCUUUCGGCUCGCUCGGCUUUAAUUCCCAAUCAUGUCGUCGAACGACACGACCUUGUCGUUCGUCGUCACGUCGUUCGCCGUCAAGCCUCACUGUAAUUCCUGCUGUGCCUCGCUUCUGAUGUGUUCGAUUAAAUGACGGACCAAGAAUCCAAGAUGUCGCUCCUCCUCGCUGUGAAAUCCUCACGCUCACCAUUCUCUAUUCGAUCUCGUCGUCAAGCUGAAGGCCGUCGUUGUUCAGGCAACUACCAAAUUGAGUUGUGAUGUGGUGAGCCGAUUCGCUAUUUUUACUCUCGGUUUUCUGAUCGUAAAAUAAGACGCUUUGUAUACGUAUACGAUUAAGUUAGAAAUACCAGUAAGGCGAGAUAUGCUUCGAGGAGUUUAAUUGCCGAAUAUAUUCGAACUAGUUAUAUUUUGUAGAAUAUAGUAUUUCGGUGACACGUAGGUUAAAUUUAGUAUUUUAAAAUGUC
rnacentral:misc_RNA from 1 species